rnacentral:rRNA from 1 species
UUAAGCGACUAAGCGUACACGGUGGAUGCCCUGGCAGUCAGAGGCGAUGAAGGACGUGCUAAUCUGCGAUAAGCGUCGGUGAGGUGAUAUGAACCGUUAUAACCGGCGAUUUCCGAAUGGGGAAACCCAGUGUGAUUCGACACACUAUCAUUAACUGAAUCCAUAGGUUAAUGAGGCGAACCGGGGGAACUGAAACAUCUAAGUACCCCGAGGAAAAGAAAUCAACCGAGAUUCCCCCAGUAGCGGCGAGCGAACGGGGAGGAGCCCAGAGCCUGAAUCAGUGUGUGUGUUAGUGGAAGCGUCUGGAAAGGCGCGCGAUACAGGGUGACAGCCCCGUACACAAAAAUGCACAUACUGUGAGCUCGAUGAGUAGGGCGGGACACGUGGUAUCCUGUCUGAAUAUGGGGGGACCAUCCUCCAAGGCUAAAUACUCCUGACUGACCGAUAGUGAACCAGUACCGUGAGGGAAAGGCGAAAAGAACCCCGGCGAGGGGAGUGAAAAAGAACCUGAAACCGUGUACGUACAAGCAGUGGGAGCCUCUUAAUGGGGUGACUGCGUACCUUUUGUAUAAUGGGUCAGCGACUUAUAUUCUGUAGCAAGGUUAACCGAAUAGGGGAGCCGAAGGGAAACCGAGUCUUAACUGGGCGUUAAGUUGCAGGGUAUAGACCCGAAACCCGGUGAUCUAGCCAUGGGCAGGUUGAAGGUUGGGUAACACUAACUGGAGGACCGAACCGACUAAUGUUGAAAAAUUAGCGGAUGACUUGUGGCUGGGGGUGAAAGGCCAAUCAAACCGGGAGAUAGCUGGUUCUCCCCGAAAGCUAUUUAGGUAGCGCCUCGUGAAUUCAUCUCCGGGGGUAGAGCACUGUUUCGGCAAGGGGGUCAUCCCGACUUACCAACCCGAUGCAAACUGCGAAUACCGGAGAAUGUUAUCACGGGAGACACACGGCGGGUGCUAACGUCCGUCGUGAAGAGGGAAACAACCCAGACCGCCAGCUAAGGUCCCAAAGUCAUGGUUAAGUGGGAAACGAUGUGGGAAGGCCCAGACAGCCAGGAUGUUGGCUUAGAAGCAGCCAUCAUUUAAAGAAAGCGUAAUAGCUCACUGGUCGAGUCGGCCUGCGCGGAAGAUGUAACGGGGCUAAACCAUGCACCGAAGCUGCGGCAGCGACACUAUGUGUUGUUGGGUAGGGGAGCGUUCUGUAAGCCUGUGAAGGUGUACUGUGAGGUAUGCUGGAGGUAUCAGAAGUGCGAAUGCUGACAUAAGUAACGAUAAAGCGGGUGAAAAGCCCGCUCGCCGGAAGACCAAGGGUUCCUGUCCAACGUUAAUCGGGGCAGGGUGAGUCGACCCCUAAGGCGAGGCCGAAAGGCGUAGUCGAUGGGAAACAGGUUAAUAUUCCUGUACUUGGUGUUACUGCGAAGGGGGGACGGAGAAGGCUAUGUUGGCCGGGCGACGGUUGUCCCGGUUUAAGCGUGUAGGCUGGUUUUCCAGGCAAAUCCGGAAAAUCAAGGCUGAGGCGUGAUGACGAGGCACUACGGUGCUGAAGCGACAAAUGCCCUGCUUCCAGGAAAAGCCUCUAAGCAUCAGGUAACAUCAAAUCGUACCCCAAACCGACACAGGUGGUCAGGUAGAGAAUACCAAGGCGCUUGAGAGAACUCGGGUGAAGGAACUAGGCAAAAUGGUGCCGUAACUUCGGGAGAAGGCACGCUGAUAUGUAGGUGAAGCGACUUGCUCGUGGAGCUGAAAUCAGUCGAAGAUACCAGCUGGCUGCAACUGUUUAUUAAAAACACAGCACUGUGCAAACACGAAAGUGGACGUAUACGGUGUGACGCCUGCCCGGUGCCGGAAGGUUAAUUGAUGGGGUUAGCGGCAACGCGAAGCUCUUGAUCGAAGCCCCGGUAAACGGCGGCCGUAACUAUAACGGUCCUAAGGUAGCGAAAUUCCUUGUCGGGUAAGUUCCGACCUGCACGAAUGGCGUAAUGAUGGCCAGGCUGUCUCCACCCGAGACUCAGUGAAAUUGAACUCGCUGUGAAGAUGCAGUGUACCCGCGGCAAGACGGAAAGACCCCGUGAACCUUUACUAUAGCUUGACACUGAACAUUGAGCCUUGAUGUGUAGGAUAGGUGGGAGGCUUUGAAGUGUGGACGCCAGUCUGCAUGGAGCCGACCUUGAAAUACCACCCUUUAAUGUUUGAUGUUCUAACGUGGGCCCGUAAUCCGGGUUGCGGACAGUGUCUGGUGGGUAGUUUGACUGGGGCGGUCUCCUCCUAAAGAGUAACGGAGGAGCACGAAGGUUGGCUAAUCCUGGUCGGACAUCAGGAGGUUAGUGCAAUGGCAUAAGCCAGCUUGACUGCGAGCGUGACGGCGCGAGCAGGUGCGAAAGCAGGUCAUAGUGAUCCGGUGGUUCUGAAUGGAAGGGCCAUCGCUCAACGGAUAAAAGGUACUCCGGGGAUAACAGGCUGAUACCGCCCAAGAGUUCAUAUCGACGGCGGUGUUUGGCACCUCGAUGUCGGCUCAUCACAUCCUGGGGCUGAAGUAGGUCCCAAGGGUAUGGCUGUUCGCCAUUUAAAGUGGUACGCGAGCUGGGUUUAGAACGUCGUGAGACAGUUCGGUCCCUAUCUGCCGUGGGCGCUGGAGAACUGAGGGGGGCUGCUCCUAGUACGAGAGGACCGGAGUGGACGCAUCACUGGUGUUCGGGUUGUCAUGCCAAUGGCACUGCCCGGUAGCUAAAUGCGGAAGAGAUAAGUGCUGAAAGCAUCUAAGCACGAAACUUGCCCCGAGAUGAGUUCUCCCUGACCCUUUAAGGGUCCUGAAGGAACGUUGAAGACGACGACGUUGAUAGGCCGGGUGUGUAAGCGCAGCGAUGCGUUGAGCUAACCGGUACUAAUGAACCGUGAGGCUUAACCUU